UACGAAGGGGGCUAGCGUUGUUCGGAAUUACUGGGCGUAAAGCGCACGUAGGCGGCUUUGUAAGUUAGAGGUGAAAGCCCGGAGCUCAACUCCGGAAUUGCCUUUAAGACUGCAUCGCUAGAAUUGUGGAGAGGUGAGUGGAAUUCCGAGUGUAGAGGUGAAAUUCGUAGAUAUUCGGAAGAACACCAGUGGCGAAGGCGACUCACUGGCCCGGUACUGACGCUGAGGUGCGAAAGCGUGGGGAGCAAACAGG
rnacentral:rRNA from 1 species